UAAAGGAAAGACCAUGCAAACCCUGGCCAUCUGCGGUGGUAGGGGCUCCAAUUACAGCGAGCAGUCACAUCUGCUCGCUGACUGUGCUAAUCAACUCUUUUGGAGCCUCUCAGGACCAAUGCAAGCAGCCUUUCUUUUUAAGUCCUCAGUGCAAUUGGAGAAAGAAUCCAGAUGCCAGAGGAACACACUCAUAAUUGUGGGAUACCAGGCACUGUUGAAAAAGACUAAUGUAUUUGGGGAACAUGAGUCUUGAAAUCACAUUCCUAAGGAGCAAUUCUUAAAACAACAUAACAAAACCGUUCU